GGCCUAACACAUGCAAGUCGAACGGUAACAGGAAGCAGCUUGCUGCUUCGCUGACGAGUGGCGGACGGGUGAGUAAUGUCUGGGAAACUGCCUGAUGGAGGGGGAUAACUACUGGAAACGGUAGCUAAUACCGCAUAACGUCGCAAGACCAAAGAGGGGGACCUUCGGGCCUCUUGCCAUCGGAUGUGCCCAGAUGGGAUUAGCUAGUAGGUGGGGUAACGGCUCACCUAGGCGACGAUCCCUAGCUGGUCUGAGAGGAUGACCAGCCACACUGGAACUGAGACACGGUCCAGACUCCUACGGGAGGCAGCAGUGGGGAAUAUUGCACAAUGGGCGCAAGCCUGAUGCAGCCAUGCCGCGUGUAUGAAGAAGGCCUUCGGGUUGUAAAGUACUUUCAGCGGGGAGGAAGGCGAUAAGGUUAAUAACCUUGUCGAUUGACGUUACCCGCAGAAGAAGCACCGGCUAACUCCGUGCCAGCAGCCGCGGUA
rnacentral:rRNA from 1 species